AAGCUUCAAAGCUCAGAACGGCAUCAGACCUGAAGCAGCAUCAUUCUUUUCUGGAAUCAUCAUCGAGAUGUGAAAGACUGGGAGCUAAGCUGCAGAGUGUUAACCGCACCCUGUCCAUCUCUGUGGCAACAAGAUUCAAGGAAGACGUCAUAACCCAAGAGGCCCUCAUGGACGUCCGGUCCGACCUCAGGACUAGCAGCGAGCUGCAAAAGUUGGAGGAAAGCUUAAGGAAAAUACAAACCGACACUUCAUUUAUAAGAGAGCUCCUCAAACCAUCUCUGAGACAGGAGGUGUUUCCUGUAAAAAGAGGCUGCAGACAUGGAGGACCGGAGGAUGCAACAGUCCAGAAUAAGCUUUAUCAGAGCAGAUCUUCUCCUUCCUGUCAUCACAGAUCUGGUUAGGAUGUCCACGUCUGAGGUUAGGCGUGUUUCAUCUGCUGAACCAGCAUGUCUGAGCAUCAUCGUGCCUUCACCCCACCCACCCCCACCCCCCAUCAGCUCUUCAUUGAAGUUCCAGGUGCCUUUGAAUCGGUCAUCCCCAACAAUGUUCUGCUGUCUCCUCCACCAACGGACAACAUUCAUGUAGAAAGGCUUGGAGAACUAGAGGCUGUGAUUUUAACAACAAACUUUAAACAGAAAAAUAAGUCUCUCUUUUGAUUUAGUAUUCAUGUUAAUGCGCUUUAACCAACGUUUAGCUCAGAACCUUAACUUCCAGAACCGCUUUAACACUGACAUUCUGAAGAAUCUCUGGGUUCUUCUUUACCGCAGUUUGAGCCUCCUACGUAAGAACUACAUAGGAGGUUCCUUCAAUAACAGCCCUGGAGCUGCAGAGAGGUGCAUACGUCAAAUACUUUAAUUUAACUCGUCCGUCUUAGACAUUAAUUCGGUGAGUUUAUCUUUACCGGAGAUCCCUGGCGCUGAAAUGUUCUCAGUCAGAACAUGAAUCAAACCAGGCAGCUGAUAUUUCUGAUGCUUAUGCUCCAUUAGAUUACUUUAAAUUUAAGGUUCAUUGGUGUCUCCUUCAGAGUUCCUCUGGAGUCAGAUGAAUGAAAGCAGAAACUGUGCUGGUGCCAUUGUCAGAGAUGAAGAGUAGUUAUUUAGUUUGAGAAUGUUUCAUGUUUUCGUGAUUUAUUGGAGUGUGAGAAUAGGAGAUCUAGAGCUGAUCAUCCGAAUUCAGCUUCGGUCUUCUCACUAAAACGAAAGGAUGGAUGAAGUUUUUCCAUCCAUGAAAAACCAAAAGUGACUUUUCAAUCUGUUGCAGGUUGGUAUAAACGCGGUCAGUGUUGUUGUUUUUCAAUUUGGCAUAGAUUUAGUUUCCAAAUUUGGAUUUCUUUAAAUCAUUAAGUUUUCUCUUUAUCUUCUCAAUUUGUGGGGGAGAACUCAGAACAUCCAAUCCCACAAUGCAAUAGCUCCUGGUCCCUGAACUCUGCUUUAUUCACUUCAGAUGACUAAAGUAGGUGUGAUUUUUGCUUGGAAAGUUUUGACUCAAACUUUGAAACAAUAAGUUGAACAAAGGAGGGACUUCCUGGUCUUUAGAAGGUUUUUAAAAGCCCAGAAGUAACCAAACCUAUUUUCCCAUAAAGUAAAAAUGAUGUAGAAAAUUCUUUUGAGCCCAAACAGGUUAAAAAGGGUAGAUAAAGUUUGUUACAAAUCAAUGUAUGGGUGUGUUGGAUAAACAGAGGACAAAGAAAACUGAACCAAGGUUGAGUUUAUUGCAGGUUUUGCUUUAGUCGAUCACAAACCUGGAUCUCAGCUUCAGUUGCUGAUAAUUUCAGUUCAUCGAAGCUUAUGUUUUUUCUGAUCUUGGGUUUCAACAGUUUUUUUCUGUUCAAUUUCAAUUCUGUUCUGCCGAUGUCUUAUUUUUACAUUUAUUAUAAAAACCUGCUGCAUUUCUUCAAACCAAGACUUUUUGAAAUAAGCAUCAGAAUUAAGAGACGAUGAAA